rnacentral:rRNA from 1 species
AUUGAACGCUGGCGGCAGGCCUAACACAUGCAAGUCGAACGAGUGGCGGACGGGUGAGUAAUGUCUGGGAAACUGCCCGAUGGAGGGGGCUAACUACUGGAAACGGUAGCUAAUACCGCAUACCAUCGGCUGUGCCCAGAUGGGAGUAGCUAGUAGGUGGGGUAACGGCUCACCAAGGCGACGAUCCCUAGCUGGUUUGAGGGGACGACCAGCCAGACGAGGACGGGUACACGGCCCAGACUCCUCCGGGAGGCAGCAGUGGGGAAUUUGGGACGAUGGGGGAAACCCUGAUCCAGCCAGCCCGCGUGUGCGAUGAAGUCUUUCGGGUUGUAAAGCACUUUUGGCAGGAAAGCGGUACCUGCAGAAUAAGCACCGGCUAACUACGUGCCAGCAGCCGCGGUAAUUC